GAUUAAUGUUUCUAUUGAUUCAGUAAUAUCUUUUUAUUUGUCAAAUGAGGUGUGAGUAUAGCAUACCUUCCGUUCAGUUACAUAUUGAGGUUAGAUUUCUGAGAUGAUCACUCAACUAAUAGUUAUGAUUCACCUUUGUUCUUGUUUUCAAUUUCUUUUGGAAAAAAAAAGUGACUUUUGGAGAUAAUAACUAACUAUUGGUUGAGCGACUAUCUAAGAAAUCAACUCUUACAUUUGCAAUAAAACGACAAUGCGUAUUUAUCACUUCCUCUUCUGUUUUGUUAUUCAUUGCACUAGUGGUGAACCUUCCAGAAAGUGAUUGAAGGAUGCCUUUUUUAAACAAAGGCUCGUUUGUCCUAAAACACGGUUCAUUGCUGGUAAUGAGAGGUUAUACUCAACGUGUAAAGGCAGAUUCAUUAGGCAUUAAUCUCACUUUCAGGCUUGUUCUUUGAACAAUCAAUGCAUUUCUUCAUUGUUUAUAGUUUAUACUUGUGGGUUGUAUGUCUUAUGCAGGAAGGGAAUUUCGAGCCUGUGCUUGAUGAAAAUUACAGAUAUUGGCUCAUGCUCAGAUAAUAGAAGGGUUGAUAUAUUCACCAGAUUUUGGCAAGACUGAUGUUUAAAAUACAAAAAGAUUAUAUGUUGUGUGUAAGAAGUUAAUUAGUUUCCAGAGUUACUGUUAGGUAUAUCCGUAUAUGAGGUGAACUUCUAUUUUGGCAUCAUAAUUAAAACUUUGAAUGCCACGUCUUAUUCCGUUAAUGUCACAUCUUAUUUCGUUAAAUGGAAGGGUAGAAGUGAUCCCAUAGUAA